rnacentral:rRNA from 1 species
GAUGAACGCUGGCGGCGUGCCUAAUACAUGCAAGUCGAGCGAACAGACGAGGAGCUUGCUCCUCUGACGUUAGCGGCGGACGGGUGAGUAACACGUGGAUAACCUACCUAUAAGACUGGGAUAACUUCGGGAAACCGGAGCUAAUACCGGAUAAUAUAUUGAACCGCAUGGUUCAAUAGUGAAAGACGGUUUUGCUGUCACUUAUAGAUGGAUCCGCGCCGCAUUAGCUAGUUGGUAAGGUAACGGCUUACCAAGGCAACGAUGCGUAGCCGACCUGAGAGGGUGAUCGGCCACACUGGAACUGAGACACGGUCCAGACUCCUACGGGAGGCAGCAGUAGGGAAUCUUCCGCAAUGGGCGAAAGCCUGACGGAGCAACGCCGCGUGAGUGAUGAAGGUCUUCAGAUCGUAAAACUCUGUUAUUAGGGAAGAACAAAUGUGUAAGUAACUAUGCACGUCUUGACGGUACCUAAUCAGAAAGCCACGGCUAACUACGU